UUUCUUUUUCGGGUUCCAAACAGAGCGUAAACCUUAUCCAAAGUUAGGGUUUCAAAAAAUUAGCCCCUCUUUUGUUUCUCUCAAUUCAAAAGCUAUUGAAAAUUAGGGUUUCAAAAGUGUAGUUGUAGAAUUCUGUUGCAACGUAAUCUCAACAAAGAGAAGGCGAUUCUCAUUUAUCUCAGCGAAUAAAUGGAGAUUGAUAGCGUUAGCCCGUGGAAACGUAAAUCUCGGGGUGCAUUGAAAGCUUCCGAUAUAGAUAUUGAUACCAAACGAGCUGCAUUGAAAGCUUCUCCUUCUGUUGUCAGUGUUGUAUCCUAUAAAGGUGGGAAGAUGAUGUUGCCUGGUUCUGGGACUAUCAUAGAUUGUGAGGACGUCAAUGGAAUGUAUACCAGUACGAUUUUGACUUCUACUACACUCCUUAGGUCAUCUCCUGAAUCAAAUACUGUACAAGAUGACAUGAAGGUUAAUGUGUAUCUAGCGGAUGGUAAGUCAUUUGAGGGUCAUGUGUCCGCUCAUGAUUUUUAUUUUAACAUUGCGACUAUCUCCAUUACAUCUGAUGUAGCAUUGCCUACCGCCUGUCUUAGACUUUUGGAUGAUUCUAUCUCUUUAUAUCCAAGUGAUUGUAAAUCAAACUACUUCAAACUUGGUCCCGGAGACAUAGUGGUUGCCAUUGGCCGCUCCUGUGAUAAGACCCAUGAGCUCAUGGUCACUCCAGGAAAAUUCAGUCCUGAAUCUUGGGAGUUUGGUUGUGGAGAGCUUUUCAAGUCGUCUUGCAUUAUUUCAAAAAGUGGUUUCGGGGGGCCCCUUAUAAAUCGUUAUGGAGAAGUAAUCGGAGUCAAUUUUUAUGACGAGUUCUGUACCCCUUUUCUUCCAGUCAACAUAGUUUCCAAAUGCUUGAGGCGAUUUAGAGAAAAUCGGGAAUCCUGUCAACCCUGUCUUGGCAUGGAAUUGACUAAUCUUUAUGCGGCAAGUAUAGGCAAGUUGGAAAAAGUUAUCUCAAAGUUCAGUACCUCCAAAGGCGUACUUGUGGAUGAGGUUAUAAAGGGGUCCCCUGCUGAACAAGCUGGAAUACUCUAUGGUGAUGUUAUUGUUCAAUGUGGAAAAAAGGAGGUUCAAAGUUUUCUGGAGUUCUAUGAUAUAAUAUGGGAAAAGGUUCGGGAAACUAUGGAGGUAGUUGUGAUAAGAGAAUCAAGUGCUGCCCGUUUGAUUCUUGAAGUGUUUGUUGAUGAGACCAGCUCAGAUAAAGUAAAUAGAUGGCCGGUCCCCAAAACAUACGAGGCUUCGGUGAAAAGAAUUCGACACGGGUAAUAUGUCUCUUGUGCGGUGGUGUUUUGUUCGAACUGGAAAUGUAUGACGUAAAACUAACCGAAACCUGUGCUUUUGCCAGCAUGAUGAUUAAUGUGAUGUCUACUGGGUUUUGCUUUUAAGUUUAGGCAGUAUCUAUAGAAGGUCUGAAAAUGGAACUUGUUCUAAUAUACAGGGCUAACUGCUUUUUGUUUGUGGAUAAGUCGUUAACUGUUUAUUUGUUUAUGGUUGAGUGGUAACUAAGUUUUUUAGCCCUGUAUAUUAGAACUCAUAUUAUACCCUUGAUUACAGGAGUAACUUAUUAAGGAAGUGGGGUUGGAAGGGUGCCAUGGCCCUAUCUAUUUUUUCGAAAA